rnacentral:rRNA from 1 species
UACGUAGGGGGCAAGCGUUGUCCGGAAUCAUUGGGCGUAAAGAGCGCGUAGGCGGUCCGGUAAGUCUGCCGUGAAAGCCGGGGGCUCAACCCUCGGAUGCCGGUGGAUACUGUCGGGCUAGAGUCCGGAAGAGGCGAGUGGAAUUCCUGGUGUAGCGGUGAAAUGCGCAGAUAUCAGGAAGAACACCGAUGGCGAAGGCAGCUCGCUGGGACGGAACUGACGCUGAGGCGCGAAAGCGUGGGGAGCAAACAGG